rnacentral:rRNA from 1 species
GAAAUGCGAUACGUAAUGCGAAUUGCAGGACCUCGUGAAUCAUCAAAAUUUUGAACGCACAUUGCGCUUUUGGGUAAUGCCCAAGAGCAUGCUUAUCUGAGUGUCCCUAAACCCCACUCAGCCGCUGCCGCAUGUAAAAGUGCUGGUGGCGAGCUGGACUGUGACGGUGCGUGGCUCUGCCAUGCUCCGUUCAAAUCCAUCAGUUUGUUGUUAUGCCUGGGCAGUUUCGGCUGCGGGUCUGACGCAAGCGCGACAAAAGAUUCGGUAGAUGCACUGAUGUGUGUUUCUUAUCUCGAGUUGUGUGAGCGAAAGCCAACCAAGUGUUUCGGUGAAUUGGGUCCUCCGGUUAAUCACCUGACGGUACUCAAAAUGAAUGUAACUCAUCUAUGGAUCUCAGAUUAAGUAAGACUACCCGCUGAAUUUAAGCAUAUAAUUAAGCGGAGGAAAAGAAACUAACAAGGAUUCCCCU